UUAGAUAUAUCAUAAUUGAGAUAAGUUUUUCCCACACGGAAAUAAAUAUAUUUCCGUGGGAUAUAUUCCUACACACUAAAUUAGUGAUGUAAAGUAUUCAAGCAUAUAUGUGUAUAUCUUUCUAUAUCUCUCUCUCAAUCUCUCUCACUCUCUCUCACUCUCGACUCUCUCUCUAUCUCUCUCACUCUCGACUCUCUCUCAAUCUCUCUCACUCUCUCUCAAUCUCUCUCACUCUCUCUCCUUCUCCCUCACUCUCUCUCACUCUCGGUCUCUCCCUCUCUCCCUCCCCUCACGCACACUUCUCUCUCUCCCUCAUUACUUCAUUCCUCCCCCAUAAAUGUUGCACACAUGCAACAUUAAAACCUAACCUAAGUAGCUAACCUAGUUAGCCAACACAAUCCCAACCUUUAAGCUCUCACAUCUCUCUCUCAUAUCUCCCACUCUCGGCUCUCUCUCCUCCCUCCUCCUCUCUUCUCCUUCUCUAUUCACCUAAUAGGAUGACAUAUCCACCAUUACUCCAUCUUUGACUAACAAGAUAGUGUAGUAAAGGAAGAUCAACAAGCACAUGCAAG
rnacentral:lncRNA from 1 species